rnacentral:rRNA from 1 species
GAUGAACGCUGACAGAAUGCUUAACACAUCAGCAAUUGAUUGGUGGCGGACGGGUGCGUAACGCGUAAAGAACUUGCCUCACAGCUUGGGACAACAUUUGGAAACGAAUGCUAAUACCUAAUCCUGUGAGAGAGCUUUGCGUCCCAUUAGCUAGUUGGAGAGGUAACGGCUCACACAGGCGAUGAUGGGUAGCCGGCCUGUGAGGGUGAUCGGCCCCAAGGGGAUUGGGACACGGCCAUUAGGCAUACGGGAGGCAGCGGUGGGGAAUAUUGGAAAAUGUGCCAAAGUCUGAAGAAGCAAUUCGGUGUGUAAGAUGAAGUUGUCGGAAGGUAAAGUGCUUGCAGUUGGGAAGCGGUACCAACAGAAGAAGUGACGGCUAAAUACGUGCCAGCAGCCGCGGUAAUUC